CCGCCGCCGCCGCCGCCGCCGCCACCGCCGCCGCUGGGCAGUCUAGCGGCGAUCCACCGGCUGGGCCUGGGCCUCACUUCCCAGUCUCUGAAACUGACACCAUGGCCCCACACUCUGGUGGUGGCUGAAUCAGCACGGCCCACACAUUGGGUCCACACGCCAGAGAGACGAGCUCCGUCUGUGCGAUUACACCACGCGAGCACAACACCCCCUCCCUCUCUCCGUCGCGUCACAGGCGACGGUGGCGGCGACGAAGGAUCCCCGGCGGCUCUUGGUGGACUCGACGGCCGUUGGAGGUUUGCCGCCGGCGGGUUCAGCAGGACCUAGCUAGACGCUGCUUUCCUCCGGACAAAUCCAAGUUGGGGAAAUGCCGACGGCGGUGAAGUCGGUGCUGCCCGUGGUGCUCCUCGGCUGCGGCGGCGUUGGCCGCUACCUCCUCCGACACAUCGUGUCCUGCCGUCCCCUCCACGCCAACCAAGGCGUCGCCAUCCGGGUGGUGGGCGUCGCCGAUAGCUCUUCCCUGCUCGUCGCCGACGACGUCAACUCAAGCGGCCUCGAUGACGCGCUCCUCACCCACCUCUGCGCCGCCAAGUCUGCCGGCUCUCCCCUGUCAUCCCUGCUCAGCCAAGGGAACUAUCAGCUGUUCAGGAACCCUGAGGCUAGGAGCAAAGUCAUUGACGCUGCUACCACGCUUGGAAGAACAACCGGUCUUGUAUUAGUUGAUUGUUCAGCAACCUAUGACACUGUUAAUCUGAUGAAGGAUGCCGUGGGUCAUGGAUGCUGCAUUGUAUUGGCAAACAAGAAACCUCUUACUGGUGCUUAUGAGGAUUUUCAAAAGUUGGUCUCCAACUUCCGUCAGAUAAGAUUUGAAUCUACUGUUGGAGCAGGUUUGCCCGUGAUAGCUUCUGUAACCCGUAUUAUUGCAUCAGGAGAUCCAAUUUCUCGUAUAGUUGGCAGUCUAAGUGGUACACUUGGUUAUGUGAUGAGUGAGCUAGAGGAUGGAAAGAGAUUUAGUGAAGUUGUAAAAACAGCCAAGUCUCUUGGCUUUACAGAACCAGAUCCACGAGAUGAUCUUGGUGGAAUGGAUGUGGCUAGAAAGGCAUUGAUCCUAGCGAGGCUUCUGGGGCAACAAAUCAGCAUGGACAAUAUCAAUGUUGAGAGUUUAUAUCCUAGCGAAUUAGGACCUGAUGCAGUAUCCACAGAGGACUUCCUUGAAAGUGGUUUAGUACAACUUGACAGGAGCAUGGAAGAAAGAGUCAGAGCAGCAUCUUCUAGAGGAAAUGUUCUCCGCUAUGUCUGUGAGAUUGGAAGCAAAGGGUAUGCACCAAGCCUAGUGUUAUAGUACCAUGCAAUGUCCACUGGCAUCAUAAAUCAGGGUGCCAGGUAGGCCUUAAAGAGCUCCAAAAAGAUUCCGCGCUCGGCAGAUUGAGGGGAAGUGACAAUGUGGUGGAGAUAUACAGCCGAUGCUACGAGAGCUCACCUCUGGUGAUCCAGGGCGCAGGAGCUGGCAACGACACCACUGCUGCAGGCGUUCUUGCUGAUAUAAUGGACCUCCAGGACCUGUUUCAGAAGCCGGCAUGAUUGGUGUCCACGGCAUCUUGUUAGCACCGGGGCAUUCAGUUGUUGUGCAUAGUAGCAUCCUUGAGUGCUUCUGAUCUGUCUCUCCUACGGGGAUGGUUGGUUGGUCGAGGAUGGAGUUGGGGUCGUCGUCGCACGGACAUUUUUGUUCAUUCAGCGGCAUUGGAACAGCAUGGCGAGUUUUCCUAGAGAAAGAAAUCUUUUAUUCCAUCGAAAUAUUCGAUGUGUUCGUUUGGCUGUGGCUGAUGGCUGGUGCUGAUUUGUUAUGACAGAACAAUACUGCUGACUGACUGGUAGCUGGUGGUUGGUGUUGAUUUAGGAUGAGAGAAUAAUAAUGCUAUCUGGUUGGCUGACAAGCCAAGCGAACACAACGAUUUAAGGUCCCUUUGUGUACAACCAAGCAGACGUGGUGACGCUGAUGAUAUAUUGAUGUGAUGUGAUGGGAACUUUUUUUACU